AACACUACCAUGAAUAGUUCUUCGCACAUCUAAUUGCAAUUUGUUAAAUUUAUUGUUUGUUGAUUCAUGGCUCCAUUGACGGUGAAUGCUAACCAUUCAUCUAGCCAUUCUUUAAUGUGAUAAGAUCAAUCGGUACGUGUACAUCCACGGUUCUUUUGAACAUGUAGUUCAUACUUAAGCAUGUGCACUAUAAACUGAGCCAAUGUUAAAUUUCUCUUGGAAUAUUUCUCCUUAUGUGAAGUAAUAUAACACGGAUCAUUCACCUUAUGUGAAGAGAGUGCCACAAAAGCUAAAAGGCAAGUUCUAUAGAACUACGAAUCGACCCGCAAUGUUGUAUAGCGUUGAGUGUUGGCCAACUAAAAAGCGACAUGUACAACAGUUAGGUGUGGCGGAGAUGCGCAUGCUGAGAUGGAUGUGUGGCCUCAUGAGGAAGGACCG
rnacentral:lncRNA from 1 species